UACGAAGGGGGGCUAGCGUUGCUCGGAAUCACUGGGCGUAAAGCGCACGUAGGCGGCUUUUUAAGUCAGGGGGUGAAAUCCUGGAGCUCAACUCCAGAACUGCCUUUGAUACUGAGAAGCUUGAGUUCGGGAGAGGUGAGUGGAACUGCGAGUGUAGAGGUGAAAUUCGUAGAUAUUCGCAAGAACACCAGUGGCGAAGGCGGCUCACUGGCCCGAUACUGACGCUGAGGUGCGAAAGCGUGGGGAGCAAACAGGG
rnacentral:rRNA from 1 species